UACGGAGGGUGCGAGCGUUGUCCGGAAUCACUGGGCGUAAAGGGCGCGUAGGCGGCUUCUUAAGCGUGCGGUGAAAGCUCGGGGCUCAACUCCGAGUCGGCCGUGCGAACUGGGGGGCUGGAGCACAGUAGAGGCAGGCGGAAUUCCGGGUGUAGCGGUGGAAUGCGCAGAUAUCAGGAGGAACACCAAUUGCGAAGGCAGCUCGCUGGGACGUAACUGACGCUGAGACGCGAAAGCGUGGGGAGCAGACAGG
rnacentral:rRNA from 1 species